GAGUUUGAUCAUGGCUCAGAUUGAACGCUGGCGGCAUGCUUUACACAUGCAAGUCGAACGGGGUGAGGGGGCAACUCCUCAUCUAGUGGCGAACGGGUGAGUAAUGCAUCGGAACGUGUCCCGUAGUGGGGGAUAACCCGGCGAAAGCCGGACUAAUACCGCAUAUGCUCUACGGAGGAAAGCAGGGGACUCGCAAGGGCCUUGUGCUAUGGGAGCGGCCGAUGUCCGAUUAGCUAGUUGGUGGGGUAAAGGCUUACCAAGGCGACGAUCGGUAGCUGGUCUGAGAGGAUGAUCAGCCACACUGGGACUGAGACACGGCCCAGACUCCUACGGGAGGCAGCAGUGGGGAAUUUUGGACAAUGGGGGCAACCCUGAUCCAGCCAUGCCGCGUGCGGGAAGAAGGCCUUCGGGUUGUAAACCGCUUUUGGUCGGGAAGAAAAGGUUUCGCCUAAUACGCGGGACUAUUGACGGUACCGGCAGAAUAAGCACCGGCUAACUACGUGCCAGCAGCCGCGGUAAUACGUAGGGUGCGAGCGUUCAUCUGAAUUACUGGGCGUAAAGCGUGCGCAGGCGGUUUAGUAAGACAGGCGUGAAAUCCCCGGGCUCAACCUGGGAACUGCGCUUGUGACUGCUAAGCUAGAGUACGGCAGAGGGGGGUGGAAUUCCACGUGUAGCAGUGAAAUGCGUAGAGAUGUGGAGGAACACCAAUGGCGAAGGCAGCCCCCUGGGUCGAUACUGACGCUCAUGCACGAAAGCGUGGGUAGCAAACAGGAUUAGAUACCCUGGUAGUCCACGCCCUAAACGAUGUCAACUAGGUGUUGGGUGGGUAAAACCAUUUAGUACCGGAGCUAACGCGUGAAGUUGACC
rnacentral:rRNA from 1 species